CUCAGUAACACGUGGACAAUCUGCCCUAAGGUGGGGAAUAAUCUCGGGAAACUGAGCAUAAUGCCCCAUAGAUCAUGGAUGCUGGAAUGCUUCAUGGUCAAAAGCUCCGGCGCCUUAGGAUGAGUCUGCGGCCUAUCAGGUUGUAGUGGGUGUAAAUGACCCACUAGCCACUGACGGGUACGGGCGUUGGGAGACGUCGCCCGGAGAUGGAUUCUGAGACACGAAUCCAGGCCCUACGGGGCGCAGCAGUUACGAAAACUUGGCAAUGUGGGAAACCACGACCAGGGAAUUCCAAGUGCAUGCACAUUGUGUAUGCUGUUCCAUUGUCUUAAAAACAUAGGAAGUAAGGGCUGGGUAAGACAGGUGCCAGCCGCCGCAGUAAUACCUGCAGCCCGAGUGGUGGUCGAUAUUAUUGAGCCUAAAGCGUCCGUAGCCGGACCAGUAAAUUCUUGGGUAAAUCGGGCAGCUUAACUGUCCGACUUCCGAGGAGACUGCUGGUCUUGGGACUGGGAGAGGUCAGAGGUACUCCAGGGGUAGGGGCUAAAUCCUGUAAUCCUUGGGGGACCACCAGUGGCGAAGGCGUCUGACUAGAACGGAUCCGACGGUAAGGGACGAAACCCUGGGUCGCAAACCGGAUUAGAUACCCGGGUAGUCCAGGGCGUAAACGCUGCAGGCUUGGUGUUGAGGAUCCUACGAGGAUGUUCAGUGCCGGAGUGAAGAUGUUAAGCCUGCCGCUUGGGGAGUACGUCCGCAAGGAUGAAACUAAAG
rnacentral:rRNA from 1 species